rnacentral:rRNA from 1 species
CACCUCUUCCCAUCCCGAACAGAGAAGUUAAGCCCUGCAGCGCCGAUGGUACUGGGGUUACACCCGGGAGAGUAGGUCGCCGCCUCAU